CUCAUAAGGCAGAAUGUAAAAUGAGUAGAAGGAGUUGUGUAAUGGGCUGGUAAAUGCAUAGUGUGUAGAAGGAGCUCUUAGUGAACCGCUGUUAUCUCGUCACUUUCUUCUUGAUCUCAGAGGCUUAAUGAAAUGCUCUGACCUGCACCGCAUCAGUACAAGUGGAGCGGCAGUAUUUACAUGUUUCUUUCACUUGACGACCCCUCGGAGCUGCCCACUCUUCCCGAUGUCCACUAUUUCACGUAUCGAACCGCCAAUGGACCGCACUGCAACGAUAUACCGACCCAUUGAAGAAGAUGAAGAUGGAGAUCCCGGGAAACUUGAGAGAGGGAAUGGGGGGGGCAAAGAAGGAGGCCGUCAGAAACGUGUACAAAGGUAAGUAAAGCUUUCUCAUGCACUGUUUCAGCUGGUUACUUCCCCUUAGCUUAUCUCUGACUAUCGUGUAUCUCCCUCUCUCUCUCCGGUUCUGGAAUGGACCCCUGGACCUCGAUCACCGACAUGGAACCGGUAAGUAUCACCCUGGUUGGCUUCAGGCGUACCUUGACAGUACACGGAGCCGACUCAAGGUGGGUAAAUAGAAGUUAUAGAUUUACAGACUGUAAUCUAAUCUCAAAAAAGUAAGCAAAUAAUAAUGAACAUCACUUCCCUUCUCUUCUCUCGUCAGAGGACUCCUGGCACCGUCUGCUCAAACCUGGACAGGCCCUGCAAUGCAGCUCAGCCAAAAGCAAGCACAACCGGAAGAAAAUAAAAAGAUGUAUACAGCUCCAGAAAACGUCUUUCUAAAAUUCCAAUGAGUUUCGACUGUGUCUGGCAGCUUUAAAA